GAUAGCUUAAUCGGUAGAGCAUGAGAUUCUUAAUCUCAGGGUUGUGGGUUUGAGCCCCAUGUUGGACA